GACGAACGCUGGCGGCAUGCCUAAUACAUGCAAGUCGAACGAGCUUCCGUUGAAUGACGUGCUUGCACUGAUUUCAACAAUGAAGCGAGUGGCUAACUGGUGAGUAACACGGUGGGAAAUCUGCCCAGAAGCAGGGGAUAACACUUGGAAACAGGUGCUAAGUACCGUAUAACAACAAAAUCCGCAUGGAUUUUGUUUGAAAGGUGGCUUCGGCUAUC
rnacentral:rRNA from 1 species